UUGACCUCGGAUCAGGUAGGAAUACCCGCUGAACUUAAGCAUAC
rnacentral:rRNA from 3 species